rnacentral:tRNA from 1 species
AAGCCUAUAGUUCAGUGGUAGAACAACCCGCUCAUGACGGGUUUGUCGUGGGUUCAAUUCCUACUGGGCUUA